CCGAGUUAGGGUCUCCUCCGUGAGACCCGACCUCCCAACCCCGUGUCUAAUAAACCUGUUUGUGUUGCUUCGGCGGAACGGCAGUCGUUCCGGACCCCCCUUCACCGGGGACGAAGGACAACCGUCGCCGGGGGAUUGCACGGUCUCGCGACCGUCCCCUGGAGAGCGUCCGCCGAUGGCCCCAACCAAAACAACUACCAAACCCAAAUCAUGGAACUAAAAUUUUCUGAAUCAGACCUUUUGAUAUACCAAUCAAAAACA
rnacentral:misc_RNA from 1 species